rnacentral:lncRNA from 1 species
AUGUGGGUCAGAUCUAUGGGUCAAUGUGUGGGUCAGUUCUAUGGGGCAGAUCUAUGGGGCAGAUC